AACGAACGCUGGCGGCAGGCCUAACACAUGCAAGUCGAACGGGCGUAGCAAUACGUUAGUGGCGCACGGGAGAGUAACGCGUGGGAAUCUACCCUUUGGUUCGGAAUAACGUCGGGAAACUGACGCUAAUACCGGAUAAGCCCUUCGGGGGAAAGUUUUAUCGCCGAAAGAUGAGCCCGCGUUAGAUUAGCUAGUUGGUGAGGUAAUGGCUCACCAAGGCUACGAUCUAUAGCUGGUCUGAGAUGAUGACCAGCCUCACUGGGACUGAGACACGGCCCAGACUCCUACGGGAGGCAGCAGUGGGGAAUAUUGGACAAUGGGGGAAACCCUGAUCCAGCCAUGCCGCGUGAAUGAUGAAGGCCUUCGGGUUGUAAAGUUCUUUUGGUGGGGACGAUAAUGACGGUACCCACAGAAUAAGCUCCGGCUAACUUCGUGCCAGCCGCCGCAGUAA
rnacentral:rRNA from 1 species